rnacentral:rRNA from 1 species
AUGGCUCAGGACGAACGCUGGCGGCGUGCUUCAUACAUGCAAGUCGAACGAGAAAUCAACUUCGGUUGGUGGAAAGUGGCGGACGGGUGAGUAAUAUGUAGAGAAUCUGCCCUAGAGAUGGGGACAACAGUUGGAAACGACUGCUAAUACCCAAUAUGAGCGUAGCUGAGAUGCUAUUCUUGAAAACUCCGGUGCUCUGGGAUGAGUCUGCAUCUGAUUAGCUAGUUGGCGGUGUAAUGGACCACCAAGGCGACGAUCAGUAGCUGGUUUGAGAGGAUGAUCAGCCACAAUGGGACUGAGACACGGCCCAUACUCCUACGGGAGGCAGCAGUAGGGAAUUUUGCGCAAUGGGCGAAAGCCUGACGCCAGCAACGCCGCGUGAUUGAUGAAGCCCUUCGGGGUGUAAAGAUCUGUCAGUGGGGACGAAACUUGACGGUACCCACAGAGGAAGCACCGGCUAACUCCGUGCCAGCCGCCGC